rnacentral:misc_RNA from 1 species
CUUAAGGAAACUCUCACUAAAAUACAGCUUCUAGAAAAAGAAGUGCAAGAAGAAUGCAAUAAACAGCAAAAUGCUGAAAGAGAACUGCAAUCAGCUCUUCAAAAGAGCAAAGAAUUAGAAAAAUCGUAUAUGAACGAAUUAAGGCAGCAGAAGGCACUCAAGGAAAUGCUUGAAAAACAGAGGCAGGAGAUUGAUGUGAUGAGAAGACAGCAAGAAGAAGCAUAUGCUGCGCUAUACAAUGCAAAUGAGCAGAAGGUCACACUAGAACAACGAAUAAGUGAGAUUGAGCUAUAUGUUAAAGAUAAGGAAGAUGAGCUAGCAAGAAACAAACACCAACUGGAAGCGCUCCAAGCAGAUUGUGACAGGAUAC